AAGUCAAAGUACUAACCCAUACCUAUAAAGCAUUGACCAAUUCUAGCCCCUUCUAUAUCGCUUCAAUGAUCCGCAGGUAUACCCCUUCUAGGUCUCUCCGCUCUUCCCAUGACCUUCUCCUGUCUGCUGCUCGCACCCAUAUGGCCAACUCACGCUUGCAGGACUUCUUGCGGGUGGCUCCUUUCCUUAGGAAUAGCCUGCCUACACCCAUCAGACUCUCCCCUAGUCUUCAAUAAUUUAAAAAGUGCCUCAAAACCCAU